AGUGAACGCUGGCGGUAGGCCUAACACAUGCAAGUCGAACGGCAGCACAGUAAGAGCUUGCUCUUACGGGUGGCGAGUGGCGGACGGGUGAGGAAUACAUCGGAAUCUACUUUUUCGUGGGUGAUAACGUAGGGAAACUUACGCUAAUACCGCAUACGACCUACGGGUGAAAGCAGUGGAUCUUCGGACCUUGCGCGAUUGAAUGAGCCGAUGUCGGAUUAGCUAGUUGGCGGGGUAACGGCCCACCAAGGCGACGAUCCGUAGCUGGUCUGAGAGGAUGAUCGGCCACACUGGAACUGAGACACGGUCCAGACUCCUACGGGAGGCAGCAGUGGGGAAUCUUGCACAAUGGGCGAAAGCCUGAUCCAGCCAUACCGCGUGGGUGAAGAAGGCCUUCGGGUUGUAAAGCCCUUUUGUUGGGAAAGAAAAGCAGCAGGUUAAUCCCCCGCUGUUCUGACGGUACCCAAAGAAUAAGCACCGGCUAACUUCGUG
rnacentral:rRNA from 1 species